GACGAACGCUGGCGGCGUGCUUAACACAUGCAAGUCGAACGAUGAACCCGGAGCUUGCUCCGGUGGAUUAGUGGCGAACGGGUGAGUAACACGUGAGCAACCUGCCCCUGACUCUGGGAUAAGCGCUGGAAACGGCGUCUAAUACUGGAUAUGUCCCGUCACCGCAUGGUGUGCGGGUGGAAAGAUUUUUCGGUUGGGGAUGGGCUCGCGGCCUAUCAGCUUGUUGGUGAGGUAAUGGCUCACCAAGGCGUCGACGGGUAGCCGGCCUGAGAGGGUGACCGGCCACACUGGGACUGAGACACGGCCCAGACUCCUACGGGAGGCAGCAGUGGGGAAUAUUGCACAAUGGGCGGAAGCCUGAUGCAGCAACGCCGCGUGAGGGAUGACGGCCUUCGGGUUGUAAACCUCUUUUAGCAGGGAAGAAGCGAGAGUGACGGUACCUGCAGAAAAAGCACCGGCUAACUACGUGCCAGCCGCCGCGGUAA
rnacentral:rRNA from 1 species